UGACCUGCCUUCUCUCCUCCGUGGCCAGGGGAGCCGUUUGACUUGUUACUUUCUUGUUCUGGUUUUGUUCUGUUGCUUUGCUGGCAUCGGGCUCCAGCUGACAGAUCCGAUGUUAACAUCCGUGUUGUAACUUUCCAUGACUAUCCUGGGGUCACUGAAGACAGGACGGUUGUUUCCUGAAUCCCAAGGCUCUGGGCUUCAUACUGACCUCUUCGGACAAACUUAGUUUCGGGUCCAGUGGUUAAAGAAAAAACUUCCAGAAUCCCUCCUUCCUAGUGCUUGCCUCCCAUUGCCCAUCGGUGGAAAAAUCAAAGAGGCUGUUUUCAGUCCUGGCUGCAAAAAGGACAAAGGUGGCGCGGCGUGCCUGCGCGGCCGCCCGAGUCUCUGGAUAUCCGUUCCAGAUGUCGGCUAGACUUGGUGGAGCCAGGCUCACGGC